UUCCUCCGUUCCUCCUCACAGCUGUCCUGAACACCCAGCCUCCGAGCUGCGCUGCGUUACUACCAGUUUUCAGAUUGUCUUCCUAGGAAGGAAGAGCUCCGAAUUUUCUCUCAACCGUUCUUGUGGCCAAGAAGCGGGAUGGGGACAAGAGGCCUGGUGACCCCCCAAGCUGAAGUUAAAGAAAACCCUGGCUGUUGUGACUCUGCACUUAAAGCACCACCCUGAGCAUCAAAGUGUCCUGGCUUGGAUUCCCAGACCUGGAUGGCUGGUUCAAUGCCCAGGGGCAAAUUAUCCUGCAGUGAGGAUUAACAACACAGACAAACAAGGAAACAAACAAAGAAAAACAGAGGUGAAAAACUGGAGGGGAAAGCUUUCGCCACCUGUGCAGCCUCCAACAAGAUAAUUUCCACAUUGAGGAAAAGCUGUAAUUCCUGAGGACUGGGCAGGGCUUUUAAGGUGGCUGAGCCUCAGCAUUCCUCUGUGUGGAGAGGUGACACCGGAAUCCUAAUAGGAAGCAGGGAACGGGUGGGAUGGCAGAGACCAGAGAGCUGAGGUGCAGGAUCACAGGCCGAGCUCCUGAGGGAGAAAGCCACAGGUUGACACCUGUGAGUUCAAUCUCAGUGAAUGCCUUUGACCCAGAGAGAUCACAGGAGCUGAGCGAUUCUAAGAAUAAUUAUAGUCGACAUGCAUGGAGCAUGUACACUUUGCUGGGCAUUGUUUAAGGCAGUGCCUGCUUUCAGCCCCUGAUACAUUGGAUAACAUAGCUCUGCUCUAUUUGGUCAUGUGAAAGAGAACACGCAGGCCCAGAAUGGCACCACUCACGCUUAAAAGCCCAUGACUCCGAACCUAACUUUAAUACCUGACUUAACUGCAAUUGCAGUCUUCCCCAGAAAUGUCAUCUCAAUGAACCAGACUGGAAUUUUCCAGUCAAGCACCAGGUAGGUGAUCUGUCUCAUGGACCUCUCCAUCUCUGAUACACUCCCCCCCCCCCGCCCCCACCUCAAGAUACAAUGUGCAUAGAAAACCCUUGCUGUUCUUGCCCCGCCCCCUCCACAGAAGAUGGCCAGAGUAAUAAUAAUCCUUUCCUUUGUUAACAGCACCUCUGGCUCAGCCUCUCCCUAUUAAAACCUUCCAUUCUGUGUGGCCCCUGGGAGUUCUGCUCUAGUUGCUAGAGAGGAUGCUGCCUGGUUCAUAAAUCUUUUAAUAAAGCCAAUUAAAUCUUUA